rnacentral:rRNA from 1 species
GAUGAACGCUGGCGGCGUGCCUAAUACAUGCAAGUCGAGCGAACAGACGAGGAGCUUGCUCCUCUGACGUUAGCGGCGGACGGGUGAGCAACACGUGGAUAACCUACCUAUAAGACUGGGAUAACUUCGGGAAACCGGAGCUAAUACCGGAUAAUAUAUUGAACCGCAUGGUUCAAUAGUGAAAGACGGUUUUGCUGUCACUUAUAGAUGGAUCCGCGCCGCAUUAGCUAGUUGGUAAGGUAACGGCUUACCAAGGCAACGAUGCGUAGCCGACCUGAGAGGGUGAUCGGCCACACUGGAACUGAGACACGGUCCAGACUCCUACGGGAGGCAGCAGUAGGGAAUCUUCCGCAAUGGGCGAAAGCCUGACGGAGCAACGCCGCGUGAGUGAUGAAGGUCUUCGGAUCGUAAAACUCUGUUAUUAGGGAAGAACAAAUGUGUAAGUAACUAUGCACGUCUUGACGGUACCUAAUCAGGAAGCCACGGCUAACUACGUG